rnacentral:rRNA from 1 species
UGCGUAGGCGGAUUAAUAAGUCAGUGGUGAAAACCUGCAGCUUAACUGUAGAACUGCCAUUGAUACUGUUAGUCUUGAGUACGGUCAAGGUAGGCGGAAUGUGUAAUGUAGCGGUGAAAUGCUUAGAUAUUACACAGAACACCGAUUGCGAAGGCAGCUUACUGGGCCAUUACUGACGCUGAGGCACGAAAGCGUGGGGAGCGAACAGGAUUAGAUACCCUGGUAGUC